AUGAGCGCGUACCAGGCCCAGCUCGCGCGCUGGCUCCAGCUCCUCGCCACCAAGGGCGUCCAGGAGCUCACCCUCGUCAACUGCCCAUGGCCGCUCGACGUGCCCCUUCCGACCGCGCUCUUCGGCAUCGCCAGCUUCACUUGCCUCUACAUCAGCCUCUGGAAGUUCCCGGACAUGGCAAGAUUACCGACCCGCACCUCCUUCCCCCAUCUCUGGGAGCUCGACAUCUGCAGCGUUGUCAUGGAGGACGGGGACAUCGACGUUGUCGUCGCCGAGAGAGCCCCAUCCUGGAGACCUCAACAUCCAUGGAUGCAACAAGGGGCUGCGCCUUCGCCUCGUCAGCCAGAGCCUCCGGCCGGGAUAAAUGCGAGUUCAAGCGCCACCACUAGCGUCAAGUUCCUGAGUCUGAAUGUGCGUUUCGGAAGCCACACCGAUUCCAAGAUGGUUCUCUCCAUCCUCGGCUGCUUUCCCAAUUUGGAGGCACUGCACAUUAUGGGUCUCUCACCGUGGCCAUAUAUCAUACUACUUGGCAAUAUUCAUGCUGUCGAUGUUUCUAAAAAAUGUGAUUAUGAAGCUGGCAGUGCCAGGCUGAAUCUCAACUUUUGGAAGCUGGUCAAGCCCACUGAAAGCGUCAAGUCGUGCAUCAAGGUGUUCUCUUACAAAGAAUUCCGAGGGGAGCUCGGGGAGGUUGCCUUCCUAAAGUUCUUCUUCGGGAGUGCAAGGGUGCUAAGGACUGCGUCCGUCUCCAUGGCUAACCCGAGCUUCAUCGGUCCAACCAGCAUCGCGGUGGCCCCGGGCUGCGGUGGCUGCCAGGGCGGUGGCGGCGAGGACCCGGGUGGUGUGGGUGACAUGGCGAGGGCUGGCGCCGGCCACGGCGGCUAUUGGGGCGCGGCGGUGGGCGGCGGCGGAAGCGUCCAGUGGUGGUGUAGAGGCCCGGUUGGCGCCGAGGGUGUCGAAUACCACGGCAGGGCAGCUGGCACGGUCGCGGCGGCCGGCGGCAAGGGCGGCGGCGGCCCGUAG
rnacentral:rRNA from 1 species